AAAAAAAAAAACACAAAUUAGAUUUUGUAACAGACGAUUUCAACAGACUCAACCAAACAUUAUGUUUUAAAAUUUCAUUUUACCUGGUGCAGUGGUGUUUGAGGUCAGAUUUCUAGGGGAAGUUUAAUUAGAAAAUUUUUGCCAAAUUGAAAGUUUUUUUUCACUCGCAGAACACUAUCAAAAAAGGGCUUUUCAUGCCACUCCAUUAAAAAUUUAUUACGGGAGGCCAAAAAAUCUUAGAAAAUCGAAAAAAAAUUAAGGAAAUUUUUUCUACAAAUUAAAAAAAAAAAAAUCUCCUCAAAAACACUAGCAAAUUCAAAGAAGUUUCCGAACGUCGUGGGGCGCAACACUCCUCCCCUUCACACACUACCAAUGUAGAUAUUUUCAGCCAGAGCUGAUUGAGCUGGAUUCAAUAUCUAAAUAUAAUGUCUGGAGUUAACGUUAUUUGACCCAGUUCCUAAGUUAAAAAUGUAUAUCAAUACGGCUUCGAAAUCGAAAAGACUGUCGGCUGAAUAGUCGAUCGCAGUAGUUUUUCAUUAUGAUAUUUAAUGAUAUUGUAAUAAUUUUUGUGAUGUAUAAUAGAUGAUGAAUAAAUAAAUAAAUAAUAA